GAUGAAGAACGCAGCGAAAUGCGAUAAGUAAUGUGAAUUGCAGAAUUCAGUGAAUCAUCGAAUCUUUGAACGCACAUUGCGCCCGCCAGUAUUCUGGCGGGCAUGCCUGUUCGAGCGUCAUUACAACCCUCAGGCCCCCGGGCCUGGCGUUGGGGAUCGGCGGAAGCCCCCUGUGCGCACACGCCGUCCCUCAAAUACAGUGGCGGUCCCGCCGCAGCUUCCAUUGCGUAGUAGCUAACACCUCGCAACUGGAGAGCGGCGCGGCCAUGCCGUAAAACACCCAACUUCUGAAUGUUGACCUCGAAUCAGGUAGGAAUACCCGCUGAACUUAAGCAUAUCAAUAAGCGGAGGA
rnacentral:misc_RNA from 1 species